CGUGAUAAUGUGUUGUUGUAGUGUUGGAGUUCUUAUUUUUCGCCAGGUGCGGCACCAAACCGACCAUCGCGCGCGACGUGUAAUAAUAAAUGUAGAAAGGCGAUUUAUUAUCAACAAAUUCCUCCUGCACGGCUGCUGACUCGGCAUCGUCGGCAGCCAUAUCGUCGUUCGCUUCCUGUUCAUCGUCCUCCUGGGCUUCCACUGCGUCACGUUUGUCUUGGAAUUUAUUUUUUUCUGUAUCAAACAGAAAUAUAUUGUUUUUUUUUUGUUACAAUAACCCCUUAUGCUGGGCGGAAAGUAAAUGUGAGCAACGGACUUACCGAAUUUCGUAAGAUCUCCACCGAGCAGCCGGAGCAUGUGCACCGUAUCGUACUGAUCAACAUACGCCCUCAGGCUCAUCGCUCCCUUCCAUCCGACCGUGGCUAGUUUUACAUCCUCUACCAUACAUUCGAGUACGCAGCUGCCGGACGCUGAAAACAGAUCGACACAAUCAAACCAGUUAGAUCGUGAAAAGCCAACCAUUCAGAAUCACUGUUGCUUACCAACACCCUGAAGGUUCUUCUGCGUUUCAGCAGUGAGGGAGGAAAUUUCGGGCGGUCUGGUAGGGUCGGUGCAUGACAGCAGCGCGAUUAAAUCCUGCUUCUGCACCAUCACGCGACGCUGACUGCCAAUGUACGCAUUUACAUUGGCCAGCCCUUCACUGGCGAGCCGAAAGUCGCACUCGAUGUUACGUGUGGCGCAGCGUACGAACGACUUCACGCCGAGAUUGAUCAUCUUUAUGCGCUUCUCGUUCAGCUGCACGAUAUCGCGCACAAUGCUCGAGCAGAAGUACACAUUUUUCUUCUUACCCACCUUGCAUCGCGUAAGUAGAUUGCGCGGCUCAAAGUCUACGAAGAAACGGAGAGAAUGUGAUGUGACAUAAAUGGUCCAAAAAAGGAA